rnacentral:rRNA from 1 species
GAUGAACGCUGGCGGCGUGCCUAACACAUGCAAGUCGAGCGAACAGACGAGGAGCUUUCUUCUCGGACGUUAGCGGUGGACGGGUGAGCAACACGUUGAUAACCUAGCUAUUAGACUGGGAUAACUACGGGAAACCGGAGCUGAUACGGGAUAAUAUAUUGUACCGCAUGGUAUAAUCGUGAAAGACGGUUAUGAAGUAUCUAAUAGAUGGAUCCGCGCCGCAUUGGCAAGUUGGUGAGGUAACAGCUUACACAGGCAACGAUGCGUAGCCGACCUGAGAGGCUGAUCCGCCACACUGGAACGACGACACGGGCCAGAAUCCUACGGGAGACAGCCGUACGGAAUCUUCCGGAAAGGGCGAAGUGGUGACGGAGCAACGCCGGGAGAAUGAUAAAGGUCUUCAGCUCGUAAGACUCUGAUAUUAGGGAAGAACAAAUGUGUAAGUAAAUAUGCAGGUAUUGACAGUACCUUACCAGAAAGCCACGGCUAACUACGUG